GCCCUGCUGGCGCAAUGGUAGCGCGCCAGACUUCUACAAUCGUUUAGAUUGCGCAAUCUAUCUGGCGGGUGUGGGUUCGAGUCCCACGUAGGGUG